AAGUCGUAACAAGGUUUCCGUAGGUGAACCUGCGGAAGGAUCAUUAACACGUAUCCAACGUUAAACAACCCUGUGAACUUUCAGACGCUCUUGUAGCCCAGGAGGAACAGCAAUCCCGGUAAAUCAAUGGCGGAAAAGUUUUGAUUCGGGACCUCUGUCCAAAAGGUAUCAAGUUACAAUCGAGCUAGGAGCAGUGGCAUGGUUUCCCUAAGCAGUGCAGAAGGAUCCACUGAGUAAGGAUAACGCAUCACGGUUGCCAGAGGUGGCAAAAAAAUCUGAACAACUGUUAACAAUGGCUAUCUUGGUUCUC
rnacentral:misc_RNA from 1 species